GUAAUUCCAGUUUCUGGUAAGAACAUGUUGACACAUGAGGCCCACCGAACAGUAAAACCAGAGAAAUAAAUGUUAGCAGAUAGGAGAAGAGCUUCAGUUAUCAUUUUCAUAGGUUAGGCAACCUGUCACACUGUCGAAACUUCUUUUCCUAUUUUGGGGGAAAACAAAUCACA